GGUGGGUAUAGCUCAGUGGUAGAGUGUAUGCUUAGCAUGCACAAGGUCCUGGGUUCAAUCCCCAGUACCUCCA
rnacentral:tRNA from 1 species